GAUUAACGCUAGCGGCACGCAUAAUACAUGCGAGUUGAACGGCAUCACAGGUAGCAAUACUGGGUGGCGAGUGGCGCACGGGUGCGUAACACGUAUGCAACCUACCCUAUACAGGCGAAUAACCUUUAGAAAUGAGGGCUAAUACGCCGUAGUAUUACAGAUGGGCAUCUAUUUGUAAUUAAAGAUUUAUCGGUAUAGGAUGGGCAUGCGUCCCAUUAGUUAGUUGGUAAGGUAACGGCUUACCAAGACAAUGAUGGGUAGGGGAUCUGAGAGGACUUACCCCCACACUGGUACUGAGACACGGACCAGACUCCUACGGGAGGCAGCAGUAAGGAAUAUUGGGCAAUGGGCGGGAGCCUGACCCAGCCAUGCCGCGUGCAGGAAGACGGCCUUAUGGGUUGUAAACUGCUUUUAUACGGGAAUAAUAGAGUGUACUAGUACGCUUAUGCAAGUAUCGUAUGAAUAAGCAUCGGCUAACUCCGUGCCAGCAGCCGCGGUAAUACCGGAGGAUGCGAGCGUUAUCCGGGAUUUAUUGGGUUUAAAGGGUGCGCAAGGCGGAUUUAUAAGUCAGUGGUGAAACACUCCGGCUCAACU
rnacentral:rRNA from 1 species